rnacentral:rRNA from 1 species
AUUGAACGCUGGCGGCAGGCAUAACACAUGCAAGUCGAACGAGUGGCGGACGGGUGAGUAAUGUCUGGGAAACUGCCUGAUGGAGGGGGAUAACUACUGGAAACGGUAGCUAAUACCGCCGAACAUCGGAUGUGCCCAGAUGGGAUUAGCUAGUAGGUGGGGUAACGGCCAACCGAGGCGACGAGCCCUAGCUGGUCUGAGAGGAUGACCAGCCACACGGGAACUGAGGAACGGUCCAGACUCCUACGGGAGGCAGCAGUGGGGAAUAUUGCACAUUGGGCGCAAGCCUGAUGCAGCCAUGCCGCGUGUAUGAAGAAGGCCUUCGGGUUGUAAAGUACUUUCAGCGGGGAGGCGUUACCCGCAGAAGAAGCACCGGCUAACUCCGUGCCAGCCGCCGCGGUAAUAC